GGACACAUUGGUGGGAUCUUCAAUCCAGGGAAGCCUAGCUAGCAUCCUGAUGGCAUCUGGAACCUGGUGGCUGAAAAGAGAGUUAACAUACAAAGCCAAACAAAUUGUUAAGCAAUCAUGGACCCAAAGGUUGGAAUAGUGGAGAGGAAGUGUCGGGGGGGGUACUCACUGCAAACUCUAGUGUACUUCUGCAUUCAGGUAUAUAUUUUGCACUAGUUUAUGGAUACGUGUGAACAUACGCUCUCUCUCACAGAACCUGGUCUAUAUCUAGGUUUUGGGACUUUGUUAGAAAAAAUGCUAGUAUUCUAUAAACAUCCUGCAUCAACAACUCAUAGGGGUCCAGAAUACCAAAAGGCUCUGUAAGAAUGUAACCUUGUGGACUAUCUCUCAUGUCUUGGAUACCUGAGGUGCAGUAAACAGGGGGUAACAAAGAAUGGAACUGAAGCAAGUAGAGUUAUACUUAGUACUAAGCACUUGAAGCUGUAGUCCAGAUUGGCAAACUGAUGCUCCAUCCAUCCCAACGCCUUCCCAAUCCCAGUACUCAUUUAGUAUUCUUUAUACUUAUUAUAAAGAAUUACACAUGUAAUUUUGAUUAAUUCUUACAGCCUUAAAAGGUAAGUACCAUUCUAAAUUUUCAGAUGGGGGACUGGGGUUCAGAGAAACAGUAUAUUUUUUUCCCUAAAAUCAUACAGAAACUUAAAUAUGAGAGCUGCAAUUUGUACUUAGAUCUAUCUGAUUUCUGUAUUCCUGUAUUUAACCACAAAGCCACAUACUCCACCAACAAGAAGUUCAAAGAAGGGCCUUCAGCCUAGGAACACAUGAGACUAUGCACCUUGUUCAUCUGUCAUCUGGCUGUCCUGUGGUGAAAUAGGGCCUUCUAAACCUCUGGAGAAGUGAGAUCUGAAAUUGGAGAGGACAAAGGGAAGAAUCACUCCUCAACAGGUAAUCUUUAAAUCCAGACCCAGGAAUAUCAGAUGAUCUGAAGUGAUACCAUCUUUUCUGUCCUCUUGACAAAUCUCAUCAACCCCAAAGUUCCAGUUACAAGGAUCCAAGAAAACACUUUGGAAUCAUUUUGUGUGACAAAAAUUGAUUCAUGUGACUCUCCUGAUAUUUGAGGAAAAUCUACUAAAGAAAAGGAAUUAGAAUUUUCAUACAUCAGUGAUUAAGGCUACACUAAAAUGAAACUUUAUUUUAAUUCAAAAGUCCUUUCUAAAAUUAAAGGGCUUACUAGACUACUAUAAUUAUAUUAUAAAGAAAACAAAUCACAUCAGUAUAAACAUAGAAUUUUAAGUUUAAAAUAACCUGAAUUACAGUUUACAUGUUAUGAAAUGUGUUGAGGCAAUUUAAAAAAUCAUACCAAAAAAAUCUGCAGUUUAGAGUAUAAAUAUAAGAUGCAGGGACAGGAAAAAAUUUAAAUAAAAGCUAAUCUAUUUAUUACUAUAAGUACCUUCUGCUAUUCUUUUUCUAUAUGUAAUAUAUAUAUAAUAUAUAUAUCCAGUUGCAGACUUAAUUAUUAAAAUCAAUGAAGCUCCCUUUUAAAUCUGUUAACUUGAAAGCAAAACAAGUGAUAUUCAAUAGUGAUAGGUUUUCACAAAUCACAGAUAACUAAAUAUAUCUUAUGACACAUUUCUUCUGAACAUAGCAAUAUAAGUUAGUAAAAUAGUAAGUUUUAAGCAUUUAUUCUCAGUAUUAAUAUAUAAUACCAUGUGUCUUAGCUUUCAACAUUUCAAGAUAAAAUCCAAUAAAGUAUUGAAUAAAAUAAUAAUAACAUGUUUUAAGAAACAUUUUCCUGAGGAAAUGUUUAGUUGGGGAGAUUUUAACCUGACCACAAAUACUAUUUUAUAUAUAUAUAUAUAUAUAUAUAUAUAUAUAUAUAUAUAUAUAUAUAUAUACACACACACACACACACACAUCCUAACCAUGUGAGUCUUUACAGCCAUGUUAUUUCCUUAUUAUGAAUGUUUUUAGUUUUAUUUUUUAGCUGUGUAUCCAAUUUCUAAUUUCUGUUCCUUGUGCAUUGUCAAUAUCAAGCUGUUACAUAUCUUCAGAAAUGUUUAUUUUCUUUAUGUGUAUGUUUCUUCAAAUACUUUAAUAAGGCAUAGCACUUCUUAAAAGAUCUAAUUUAGUAAACAUAAUAUCAAUAGUAUAGAGGAGUAGGGCGGUAGCACUGUUAAGCGCACGUGGCGCAAAGCCCAAGGACCGGCGUAAGGAUCCCGGUUUGAGCCCUCGGCUCCCCACCUGCAGGGGAGUCGCUUCACAGGCGGUGAAGCAGGUCUACAGGUGUCAGAAAAAAAAAAGAAUUUAAUAUCAAUAGUAUAAUCCUAAAUUAAGUCACUUAAAGUCUCUAGUUAAUGAAGUAAGAUGGUCCUUCUAGUAAUCAGACUAACAACAAAUUGGGAUAAUUAUAAAAUACAGUGUAAACACCAACGGAGAAGGUAGAAAAAUCCAUUACAGACUUCAAAUUCAUAUGAACUGAACUGCUUUGAGAGAAAAAAGGUCCAGAAAGAUAUCUCACCUGGGAGGGUGCUGUUUUGUCAUGUUGUACGACCCAGGUUCAAACCCAAUCCUCACUGUACUGCGGGAAACAUGGUACCGUUGUGUUUUUCCUUCUCUCUGUCUCUCAGUCUCUAUCUGAAAAAGUUGGCUUAGAGUAGUGAAGCCCAGCGUUAGGAAGAGAGAGAGAUUAUCAUAAUUAAAAGUGCUGUGUCAAAAAAUGUGCUAUAUUAAUAUUUAGAGACUCAAAAAGUAAAUUUUGACUGGUGGAACUAGAUUUACAAAUAAAAUAUGGCAUAAAAAUAUGACUGUACUAAAAUCUACAAAUGUAAUUAAUUGCAAUAGUUACAAGUGAUAUGAAUGCAUUCUAUUAUGUAAAUUAUUUUCUGUAAAUUUGUAUUAAAAAGGAGUUAGUUUCUGGGUUAUAUAGAGAAUUUUUGUUACAUUCUUCUAUCCAUUGGAUUGACAUAAUAAAAUUUCCUCUAUGAUCAGAA